GGGCCUCCUAAGUAGAGAAAAUAAUCAAAAAGGAACAUACACAUGUAACGGACACGCCACUAAAGAUGACAGCCAGCAACCCCCAGUCUCGUGCUGUUCCGCAUACCUGCCACGGCUGCCCUCUGAGUCAGUCUGCAUAGACAAGACAUUAAGGAAAACCUUGUCUAUCGAAGAAGCACAAGGAGGCUUAACUUCGCGCACGGACGCUAAAUGAAUUACCAGCCAGUCCCAAGUAGCAUCAAAGCUGAGACACAGACAUUUGGUUUCUCACCCGGACGCUAAAUUAAUUAACUUUCACCCUCAGCCAGCCUGAAGAGUCUCACCAAAAAAGACUUUUUUCCCGCUGUUUUCAGUGACAUUUGUUCCUCCUGUCUGGGACAAUGGAUAGAGCACUAGUGACACCCACAGAUAGUGGAAAGCUACUGCAACCACUGAUUAAUUAACCACAAUCUUCACUGGAUUUGAAUGUCAUAUAAUAUUUUCAGAACUUUGCAUGAAAGCCACCACCAGCGAUAGCGCCACUAGUGAUUGUAUUUCUGCAAAUUUGAAUAUCUGAUGUCAAAUAUUUUUGUCAACUGAAGCGGAUGAAAUGUUUCAACCCACACAACACAAAUGCCACAUUGCAAAUAUUACAGUGUUCUCAACAACCACAUAGAAUUGAAACAUUCGUUACAGGGAUUAAAGAAGAUGUGCACGUGACACUGCAAGGCUGGAAAAUGGUCUCGUUAUCUUAAAUCCAAUAAUUAAUAUUUUAUCCCACUGGUUUUAAACCACAAAACAAUCCUAGGAUGGGAAAGUAAGAUUAAGAGGAUGUCCAUCCCCCGGAGGGGGUCGACUACCCCCUUUGCGGAUGGCCAUAAAGGCCCCCCCUUUGUUGGCGGGGUCUUGUUCGACCAACUUGCCAAAGACUGGCUCAGCCAGGACGCCCCACCUCGCACCACGAGGUGACAAGUACACACAGGACCUUUCCCCGCCACAGAGCAUCCUGCCAGCGCUCCGAGCUGCCCUUUAUGGGUGCCUGGGCAAACUCCGUGGGGAAGGAAGCGGGCAGCACACGUCCGCUCCGAAUGUCUUGCGAACAGCGAUAUACGGGCUCCUGCCGUCCUGCCUGGGACAUUUUUGUUUUUCUUGCUCUUCUUUUUCAGAAUCAGAAUCAUCUUUAUUUGCAAAGUAUGUCCAAAAACACACAAGAAAUGUGUCUCCGGUAAUUGGAGCCGCUCUAGCACGACAACAGACAGUCAAUUGACAGGAAACACUUUUGAGACAUAAAGACAUUGAGAAAAACAGUCACUGAGUAAUAAAAGGUUGCCAGUAAUCUGAUAAUGCCGGUACAUUUUAUUUAUUUUUUUUACAAUUGUGCAAAAAGAUGCAGUGGCCUCUAGCACUUAGAGCAUUUCGAAUGACUAAUAUUGCAACAGUCCGGUGCAAUGACCAUUGUGCAAAGGGCGCCAAGACUUCAAGCGAGUAGUACGAUAGUCUGGGACAAUGUUGAUUCUGUUGCAAUGUUGGAGAUACUCCUCAGUCAGUGUGCAAAUGGAGCAGAUGCUACUCUGGCAUGAAUGGCCAGUAUUGGUCAACAACAGAUAUGCAAAUUGUGCAGCGUGGUGAGACUACUACAGUGAGUGCACAAGUAAUAUAUAAUUGGCCCAGAGAAAUGUGACGACAAUAUCAAGACAAAAAGACAAAAUUGCCAGCAUGUUGCAAUGGAAUUGUGCGCGGAGUGAACUCCGUCUGGAUAGCCAGCCGAACGUCAUGACGAGCCUCCUCGGACGAAGACGAAGGUAACUUGUUUGCACCUCGCGUUAGCUACAUUUAGCGAGGAAACACGCUCCUUCAAUCCUUGUUACAUAAAAACAGAAUUUAGUCCCACUAGUUCACAUUACAAUGGCAUUACAUUCUGUUGCCAGUACUGAUUUGAAUUUUGAAUUCCGUCCAUCUUGCAGGAAUUCAACACCCGCGAGUCGAACGUCUUUUACGAUUGCGACAAAGUUAUGCAUCCAGUAGACGUUCGUAGACGUAGUAGUAGUUCCAGUACGCAGUGCAAACAAAAAAGGUUGUGCUUCGAGCAGAAGUAGGGACUAGUUUCAAGGAGAAUGACAACCACACAAGAGCCCAUUCACUGCCACCGAAGAAUAAAAUCCAUAUGUGGAUCAAACUGCUAGAUUUUAUGUGCAAGGUAAUAAAAACCUGGACUAUUGAGCAAACGAGAAUUUGGAGGAAAAAAGUGUGGGAGCCCAAUUUGUUUAUGGAUUUUUGUCUAAU